rnacentral:rRNA from 1 species
CUGGCCCGUCUUGAAACACGGACCAAGGAGUCUAACAUCUAUGCGAGUGUUCGGGUGUCAAACCCCUGCGCGUAAUGAAAGUGAACGGAGGUGGGAACCCGCAAGGGUGCACCAUCGACCGAUCCUGAUGUCUUCGGAUGGAUUUGAGUAAGAGCAUAGCUGUUGGGACCCGAAAGAUGGUGAACUAUGCUUGGGAAAGGCGAAGCCAGGGGAAACUCUGGUGGAGGCUCGUAGCGAUUCUGACGUGCAAAUCGAUCGU